rnacentral:rRNA from 1 species
CCUACGGGGGACUGCAGUGGGGAAUAUUGCACAAUGGGGGAAACCCUGAUGCAGCGACGCCGCGUGAGUGAAGAAGUAUUUCGGUACGUAAAGCUCUAUCAGCAGGGAAGAAAAUGACGGUACCUGACUAAGAAGCCCCGGCUAACUACGUGCCAGCAGCCGCGGUAAUACGUAGGGGGCAAGCGUUAUCCGGAUUUACUGGGUGUAAAGGGAGCGUAGACGGCAGCGCAAGUCUGGAGUGAAAUCCCAUGGCUUAACCAUGGAACUGCUUUGGAAACUGUGCAGCUAGAGUGCAGGAGAGGUAAGCGGAAUUCCGAGUGUAGCGGUGAAAUGCGUAGAUAUUAGGAGGAACACCAGUGGCGAAGGCGGCUUACUGGACUGUAACUGACGUUGAGGCUCGAAAGCGUGGGGAGCAAACAGGAUUAGAUACCCCAGUAGUC